rnacentral:rRNA from 1 species
UGAAGUAAGUAAGGGCGUACGGUGAAUGCCUUGGUGCCAACAGGCGAAGAAGGACGCGGCAAGCUGCGAAAAGCCUCGGGAAGCUGCAAGCAAGCGAUGAUCCGGGGAUAUCCGAAUGGGGUAACCUGAUCGAGGCAAUACUCGAUCGUUCAUACCUGAAUACAUAGGGUAUGAAACGCGAAACCCGCUGAAGUGAAACAUCUCAGUAAGCGGAGGAAAAGAAAGAGAAAUCGAUUCCGUAAGUAGUGGCGAGCGAAAGCGGAUGGAGCCCAAACCGAAGGUAUUCCUUCGGGGUUGUAGGACCACGUCAUAUUCGACCAUACUGGAUAGUAGAACAGCCUGGAAAGGCUGGCCGGAGAAGGUGAAAGCCCUGUAGACGAAAUCCAGAGUGGGAAUUAGUGGUAUCCUGAGUAAUACAUCACACGUGGAACGAUGUAUGAACCCGCGCGGACCACCGCGCAAGGCUAAAUACUAGUUGGCGACCGAUAGUGAACAAGUACCGCGAGGGAAAGGUGAAAAGAACCGCUGUGAGCGGAGUGAAAUAGAACCUGAAACCGUAUGUCUACAAAGUGUCAGAGCAGAGCAAUCUGCGAUGGCGUGCCUUUUGUUUAAUGAGUCUGCGAGUCAGUGUUUGUGGCAAGACUAAGGGCUUCCGGCCCGGAGUCGCAGCGAAAGCAAGUCCGAACAGGGCGCAAUAAGUCGCAGGUACUGGACCCGAAGCGGAGGUGACCUACCCUUGGCCAGGUUGAAGCAUGGGUAAAACCAUGUGGAGGACCGAACAGGUGAACGUUGAAAAGUUCUCUGAUGAGCUGAGGGUAGGAGUGAAAGGCUAAUCAAACCCCGUGAUAGCUGGUUCUCUUCGAAAUGCAUUUAGGUGCAGCGUCACGUGCUGAUGCGCGGGGGUAGAGCACUGACAAGGCUAGGGGGCACACCCGCUUACCAAACCUUAUCAAACUCCGAAUACCGUGCAAUGGAACGUGGCAGUGAGACAGUGGGGGAUAAGCUUCAUUGUCGAGAGGGAAACAACCCAGACCAGCAGCUAAGGUGCCUAAAUAACGCUCAGUGGAAAGGAUGUGGGAUUACACAGACAGUGAGGAUGUUGGCUUAGAAGCAGCCACCAUUUAAAAAAUGCGUAAUAGCUUACUCAUCGAGUGAUCCUGCGCCGAAAAUGAUUGGCGAUCAAGCGUUAUACCGAAGCUCUGGACUUUGCCGCAAGGCAGAGUGGUAGAAGAGCGUUGCAUGCGCGUCGAAGGGCGAUGGCGACUGACCCUGGAGCACAUGCAAGUGAGUAUGCAGACAUGAGUAACGUUAAGCCGGGUGAAAUCCCCGGCCGCCGUAAACCCGAGGUUUCCAGGGCAACGUGUUUCGUCCCUGGGUUAGCCGGGACCUAAGCCGAGGCCGAGAGGCGUAGGCGAUGGACAUCAGGUUAAUAAUCCUGAGCUCGCAACCCUUAAACUGGGGGGACGCAUGAGAAAAGAUGACUAGGUUAUUGAAUUCCGAGUUGAGUCCACGGACUCAGCGCAUCAUUGGAUCGAGUGCCAAGAAAAGCCCCAGCGUAUGCUAAGCGACCCGUACCGCAAACCGACACAGGUGGGUGGGUAGAAUAUACCAAGGCGUAAGAGUGAAACCUGGUUAAGGAACUCGGCAAAUUAGCCCCGUAACUUCGGAAGAAGGGGUGCCUGCAGCGAUGCAGGCCGCAGAGAAAUGGCCCAACCGACUGUUUAUCAAAAACACAGCACUCUGCAAAGACGCAAGUCGAAGUAUAGGGUGUGACACGUGACCAAUGCCGAAAGAUUAAGGCAAGGGGUUAGCCGCAAGGCGAAGCUCUAAACCCAAGUCCCGGUGAAUGUCGGCCGUAACUAUAACGGUCCUAAGGUAGCGAAAUUCCUUGUCGGGUAAGUUCCG